rnacentral:lncRNA from 1 species
UUAAAUUAUCAAGCAAGGGGCAAUAGUUUAACGGAUUUUCUUUUCAUAAAUUUCGAUCCAGCUGUCGUUGAUUAUCGCGGAAAGUUCUGAAUCAUUACUUCGUAAGUUGGAGUUAAAUGGUAAGCUACGCCAGUUGUUCAAUGCCAGAAAAACCAAUGAGUUGCUACGGCUUCGUAGAUGGUAUUCCGAGAAAACGAUCGUAUCCUUAUAUCAACACUUUUAAUUUUACCUCUGCACCUUCUACCUCUACAUUCAUCCCACCGCCCAGGUUGACGCGGUUAAGUGGUCUUCAGAAAGAAGAAAGAUCAAGACAACACACUGCUACUAGAGAGGAUGGAAAUCUCCCUUUUUCUUUCCUUUACACUUUAUCUGGUGCCAUCACUCUCUGAGAUGAUCAACUCUUUCCACGAUAUCUACGGCGACCCAUCUGUGUACUUCAAGUUAUUGGGAGAAUGAGAGUCUUGUCAGGUUGUUUAGUACAGAAAUCUAGAAUUCGGACUUGUCAUCGUCGAUAGUCAUACUUUGCGUUGUUGACCUCGUCAGGAGGAUCGUGGGAUCUAUUCACAUGUGACAUAUGUAAGGAAGAUUAGUUCUCGCUUGGAAGGUCCUCCAACUGAUCGCUCACAGCCUAUAAGUAGGAGGAAUAACGCGCAACGGCUCUUCUGUCAACUAGAUGAUGUUACUUUUUUGAUACUUUGUGUAAGCACUGUAGCGCUGGGUGUCCAUCCUUCUCC